rnacentral:rRNA from 1 species
GACGAACCGUCCAAACGUUAUUCGGAAUCACUGGGCUUAAAGGGCGCGUAGGCGGCCGAGCGGGUCGCGGGUGAAAUCCCCCAGCUUAACUGGGGAACUGCCCUCGAUACCACUGCGGCUCGAGGAAGGAAGGGGCAAUCGGAACUGUCGGUGGAGCGGUGAAAUGCGUUGAUAUCGACAGGAACGCCGGUGGCGAAAGCGGAUUGCUGGUCCUUUUCUGACGCUGAGGCGCGAAAGCCAGGGGAGCAAACGGG